UAGCUUUGCGGCUCAUUUGGUUCACGCCGCUGGUGUGAUUAAAAGGGAAUCCGGUGUAAAUCCGGAGCAGUACCCGCUGCUGUAAGUUCACAAAAAAGGAGCUAACAAUUUGCCACUGGAAGAGGAAUGUUAAAUUUUGAAUGAUUGAAUGAGUGAAUAAACCAUUCUAUCAUUCAAUCAUUCUAUCAUUCAUUCAUUAUUCUUCCGGGAAGGCGUUAGCUACUGAACGAGUCAGAAGACCUGCCAUUUGAAAAUAUCCGUU
rnacentral:ncRNA from 2 species